rnacentral:rRNA from 1 species
AUUGAACGCUGGCGGCGUGCCUAACACAUGCAAGUCGAACGAGAGGCGGACGGGUGAGGAAUGUCUGGGACACUGCCUGAUGGAGGGGGAUAACUACGGGAAACGGUAGAUAAUACUGCAUACAAUCAGAUGUGCCCAGAUGGGAUUAGCUUGUUGGUGGUGUAAUGGCCAACCAAGGCGACGAGCCCUAGCUGGUCUGAGAGGAUGGCCGGCCACAUGGGAAGGGAGCCAGGGUCCAGACUCCUACGGGAGGCAGCAGUGGGGAAUAUUGGACAAUGGGCGCAAGUCUGAUGCAGCCAUGCAGCGUGUAUGAAGAAGGCCUUCGGUUUGUAAAGUACUUUCAGCGGGGAGGCGGUACCCGCAGAAGAAGCACCGGCUAACUCCGUGCCAGCCGCCGCGGUAAUAC